GUUUGAGAGCCGACCCUACCUACCUAACCGCCAUAAUGGAGGGCACGAAAUUGGGAUGACAUCCGGGAACUAAGAGAGAAGUGAGACUUGCGAUCCGUUCCGGUUCCAUUGUCAUCCAAACAACCACCGCGAGUAUUACCAUAACGUCCGAAACGGAGAAAUUUGAUAGACAACCAUUCAAUCGCCUCACUUCCCUCCAAAAAAGACAUAUAACCCGCCAUCUACACACCCUCAUCUCCCUUGGUCUGUCUAUCAGGGCUUCAGAUCAUGCACCUCAUCACCGAAGCGGUUCCCGCAAGACGCAGGACGCGGACCCGGACGAGAUCUUGGGCCCUUGAGCUAGAGGUACAAUCGCCAGGUGAGGUCAACAGUGUCCAGGCUCGUGACUUUCCCCUCAUCAGUCCCUGACGUGGGGUGGAACUGCUUGUCCGGAAGACUGACUGGGUGCGGGGCUGUGUCAUGUGCUUUCUUCGACAUCUCAACACAUCCUCUUACUAAACCCGUGCUUGGACUCGUGAUUGAUCACUUGGACAUCUUUGGACUUGGGGGUCCUCCUCCGAGUGAGGAGAAGGAGGGAGGUUCAUGCGGGCUGAAGAAAAUCGAGGCAGACGAGGUGGUGGAGAGAUGGAGAGAUAGAGUGGUUCGAAUUGGGUCUUGGCGUCAGAGCGGCUUCAGCCUCGGAAGAGUAGAGGUAAUUAAGGGCGGGGGCUAUGAGGCCGUUGGGACCGACGGUGUUGAGUGGUGAUGAACGUCUGGAGAAAUAGGGAACUGGGGCGGCCAGGUGGGUUGAUGGUAGAGGUGCCUACCUCUAGGUAGGUUGAUGAGGUAAGAGUCUGGAGACUUCAUACCUACCUAGGCAUUGAAGCAACCAGAGCCCUCGAGCACUUGCCGUCAAUGCAUCUCUAUACUAAUUGUAAGUUUGUUUGCAUCCUAUCAAA